GACGAACGCUGGCGGCGUGCUUAACACAUGCAAGUCGAACGGAAAGGCCCUGCUUUUGUGGGGUGCUCGAGUGGCGAACGGGUGAGUAACACGUGAGUAACCUGCCCUUGACUUUGGGAUAACUUCAGGAAACUGGGGCUAAUACCGGAUAGGAGCUCCUGCUGCAUGGUGGGGGUUGGAAAUUUUCGGCGGUUGGGGAUGGACUCGCGGCUUAUCAGCUUGUUGGUGGGGUAGUGGCUUACCAAGGCUUUGACGGAUAGCCGGCCUGAGAGGGUGAACGGCAACAAGGGGACUGAGAUAGGGACCAGACUCCUACGGGAGGCAGCGGGGGGGAAUAUUGCACAACGAGAGGAAGCCUGAGGCAGAAACGCCGCGUGCGGAAUGACGGCCUUCGGGUUGUAAACAGCUUUAGCCUGUGACGAAGCGUGAGUGACGGUAAUGGGUAAAGAAGCACCGGCUAACUACGUG
rnacentral:rRNA from 1 species